AUUAAUUAAUAAAAAUGAAAAUAUGAAAGUGGGUCUUAAAUGAUAGUUUUUUUUUUAAAACUAAAAGUACAAAAAUAAUAAAUAUUUACAAAAUAGAAAUAAAAAAAACUGUUAAAACUAGUGAAAAUGAAAAUUAUUACUUUUAAUUUUUAAUAACAUAACUAUACAUUGUACAUCCGAACGAUUCUAACUAACUCGUCUGUACGUACUGUACACCAUUAGACAAUUCAAGGACAUUUUUGUCUGAAUUUGGCUGAAUGGCUAAAUAGUGGAAGUCUCAGUCCACUUUGCCAAAUCCUGCAAUAUAAACAGGUCAAUGGCUACUGUAUAUAAUUUACCCAUAAGAUCAACGUGUAAGAGGUGAAAAAUCUUGCAUAACCAUGUAUAGAGAUCGAUCAAUGCUAAUGUAAUCCAAACCGAUCGAAUUUUUGUUAACCGGAACUAAACCGGACUCCACUUAAAUUGAACCGGAUAACCGAACCGUUUAUCACGGGAUCGAGUUUCUCUUCGCCAUUCAAGGGCUCCACUUCAUCUUUUUCGUUUUUGUUCAUAAGAACACCAAAAUCAGUAAACCCUAACUCUCUCAAUUCUUAGUCGUUUUUGUCGAAUUUAGUGCCUAUUUCAAUCGGAUUUUUGUCCUCUUUCCAUAUCUACUGUCUGUUUUCUCGAUCUGCAAAGGUAUGAGCUCGCUAUUCCCUUUUUUGGUUCCGUUUUCAAAAGUGAAAAAUCUCUAAUUCCUUGAAUUUCAUGAUGUUUAUGGGUUAUCUGAAGCUAGCUUCUUGUCUACGAUAGUUUUAGGAACCUUUUUGAGCCUUUAAUUGCUGGAUUAAGCCCUAAUUUGAGAUUUGAAAAUUUCCCCUUUGGUAAAAAACAGACAUAUUCAUACACUUUGGAAAAAACGGAUUUUAGGGUUUAGAACUUGAUUAUUCAUGAUGCAUUGUUUAGUUUUAGUAACUAAAAU
rnacentral:sRNA from 1 species